UAAUUAAACUACUUAUUGA
rnacentral:tRNA from 1 species